UGCUAUAAUUGUCAGCUAAGUGGCGCACGGGUGAGUAAUGUAUAGAUAACCUGCCCUUAAGAAAGGAAUAACAGUUGGAAACGACUGCUAAUGCCCUAUAUGCCUUUAAUACAUAAGUAUGCAAGGGAAACGCUUUAGUGCUUAAGGAUGGGUCUGUAUGGUAUCAGCUUGUUGGUGAGGUAAUGGCUCACCAAGGCUAUGACGCCUAACUGGUUUGAGAGGAUGAUCAGUCACACUGGAACUGAGACACGGUCCAGACUCCUACGGGAGGCAGCAGUGGGGAAUAUUGCACAAUGGACGAAAGUCUGAUGCAGCAACGCCGCGUGGAGGAUGACACAUUUCGGUGCGUAAACUCCUUUUAUAUAGGAAGAUAAUGACGGUACUAUAUGAAUAAGCACCGGCUAACUCCGUGCCAGCAGCCGCGGUAAUACGGAGGGUGCAAGCGUUACUCGGAAUCACUGGGCGUAAAGAGCGUGUAGGCGGGUAUAUAAGUCAGAAGUGAAAUCCAAUAGCUCAACUAUUGAACUGCUUUUGAAACUGUAUACCUAGAAUGUGGGAGAGGUAGAUGGAAUUUCUGGUGUAGGGGUAAAAUCCGUAGAGAUCAGAAGGAAUACCGAUUGCGAAGGCGAUCUACUGGAACAUUAUUGACGCUGAGACGCGAAAGCGUGGGGAGCAAACAGGAUUAGAUACCCUGGUAGUCCACGCCCUAAACGAUGUACACUAGUUGUUGUGAGGCUCGACCUUGCAGUAAUGCAGUUAACACAUUAAGUGUACCGCCUGGGGAGUACGGUCGCAAGAUU
rnacentral:rRNA from 1 species